UGGAAAACAGUGGUGUGUGUGUGUGUUCGAAAAAGUUGAAAUUUAAUUUGCAAUUUUGCUAAUUUUGUAAUUUUACUGCGUUUUUAAUUUUAUGAAUCGUGUUGUGAAGUAAAUAUGUAAGAAUUGAAAAUGAAUUAAUAUCCAAACUGCGUUGAAAAUGUGUUAAUUAAUUUGUUCAAUAUCAAACUGUUCGUCGCGAACAACUCGGUUGUUCGGCUUUCGCGUUGAUCAUCCUGUGGUGAUCUCCGUUCUGUUGAUCGCAUUUAUGCCGGUUUAUUUUUUCAAAUACAGUUGCUAUUCCUCAAAACUUUCAAGAUGAUGUACACAGGAACUAGUGCUGAACAGGAUACACGAUUUGCGGACAAAGAAAAAAAACUGCUAAAACAAAUGAAAUUUGGAGAUAAUCUCGCUAAAAGAGUUGACAUGACCAAAGUUAAGCUCGAUACCAUUAAACCUUGGAUAGGAAAAAAAAUUACUGAGCUGUUGGGUAUGGAAGAUGAUGUAGUGGUCGAAUUCGUGUACAAUCAGUUGGAAGGAGAAAAAUAUCCGGAUCCGAAAAAGAUGCAAAUUAAUCUGACUGGAUUCUUGAAUGGAAAAAAUGCACGACUAUUUAUGACCGAUUUGUGGGAAUUAUUGUUGAAUGCGCAAGAUUCUGCCACUGGAAUACCAGAUCAACUAGUAGAACUUAAAAAAGAAGAGAUUAAGAAGAAGAUGGAAGAGCAAGACCGGAUUCAAACGAUAACUAAUAAAAUAGAAAAAAGCAGGGAAAGAGACAGAGAACGUGAAAAACGAAAAGAAAGAAAAAGUCGUAGUCGGUCUAGGGAUCGCCAUCGUCAUCGUGAUAAAGAGAGAAAGGAUUCUGACAGACGAGACAAAGAUAAAAAGAAAUCACCUUCGAAAUCUCCAUCGAAACCUAGGAAUUUUCAAAUUUUUAGUUCAUUAGAGAGAGACCAUGUGAAAAAUGGAGAUAAUGGCGAUCUUGGAAAAAAUACCGAAAGUCCUGAUAGACGACGAUCUCCUUCCAUUGAUGGCAAACAAAAUAAUUUCGGCAACGACGAUAGAGACGCUAAUGAUAGUCCUCCCAUAAACAAAGAUAAAUUAGAAGACCAUGACGAGGCUUUACGGUCUUCAUUUUCUAAUGACAUUAGUUCACCUGUACGAGAUAAAAAAGAAAUAACUUCGCGAAAAGACAGGCGUUCUUCUGCGUCAUCUGCAAGUCCUGCAAAAGAACGAAGCGUUUCCAAGGAAAAAAAUAGCCGUAGGAGGAGCGUUAGUAAUUCGUCAAGCAGAUCGUCCUCUUCUGAUCACGGAACGAAGAAAAAUGAAGAUUUCGAAAUUCGCAAGAAAGAAGAUAGUAUACAAAAGAAACGACAUUACCGUAGUAAUAAAGGCGAUUCUUCGGGCAGUGAAUCAGACAGAGGUCGAGGUGACAGGCGUUCUAAAAAAGGUAAUCGACGACGAUCAGAUUCGCGUUCACGUGAUUAUCGUCGAGGCAGUAGUAGAGAAUACGAUCGACGAGACCGAGAUCGGCGGGACCGCGCUAGGGAUCGUGAUCACGACCGAUACAGAGAUCGCGACCGUGAACGCGAUCGGGACAGAGAACGCCGAGACCGAGAACGUCGUGAAGCUGAAAGGGAGAGAUUAGCCCGAGACCGUGAACGUAGAGAAAGAGAACGAGAACGCGAACGUGAAAGAGAGCGAGCACGUGAACUUGAACGAAAAGAAAGAGAACGCGAACGUGAAAAGGAAAGGGAAAAGGAACGCGAAAAAGAACGCGAAAAGGAAAGAGAACGUGAACGUGAGAAGGAAAGGGAAAAGGAACGAGAAAAAGAACGGGAAAAAAGAUAUCAAAAAGCAUCCGAAUCACCGGUAGCUCGUGUAAGUCGUAAGAGAUCAUCAAGUGGAAGAAGAUCCAUGUCGUAUUCGCCGUCUCCAAAAAGCAGUUCUAGAAAUGCCGCUCCUAGCUCUUCCCGAUCUCCGCCUCAUCAAUACAAGAAAACUGAAUCUGAACGUGAAAAGAAACACCAUCGAUCUCAAGAAAGAGAUUCUUCUGAUGAAGAUGCUAGAGUUGUUAGCAGACGAGAAAUCGAAUCAAGUUCGAAACGUAGAAGAAGUGAAGAAAGCGUUGAACGCAGACCAGUAGAAAAAUACAAAUCUGUAGAUAGAGAUCCUAGGAAACAAGAAAAAAAAGACGGCCAUUAUUAUAAAAAAUCCAGCGAGCCCGAGGAUGUUAAAUAUAGUAAAGGAGAUGCUCGCGGUAAAGAACGUCUGCCAUCUUCAAAAUCUUCUGGUUCCGAUUCCGAUGACGAAUCAGAAGCUUCGCCACCGCCGAAAAAAAAUAAACCUGAUACAGAUUCUAGUUCUUCUUCCGAAGAUGAUAGGCAGGACCGCAAAAGUCGGAAGAAGAAAAGGUCGAAGUCGUCGAGUUCGUCGAAUGACGAUGAUGAAGAUCUCAAAUUGAAAAAACAUAAGAAAAUGAGAAAAACUGAAUCGGAUUCCGAAGAUGAUGAAAAACUAAGAAAAAAGAAAAAACGAAAGAAAUCCUCAGGAUCCAGUUCAGAAGAAAGUGAUGACGAAGAUGAUAAAAGAAAGAAAAAAGAGAAAAAACAUAAGAAACACAAGAAACAUAAGAAACAUCGAAAGCAUAAAAAGAAAAAAGACGAAAGCGAAGAUACCGAUGAAGUGACCGACGACGAUGAAAAAGAACGUAUAUUACGCGAGAAAGCGUUACGUUCUAUGCGUAAAAAACAAAUGCUUCAACAGCAAUUGCAACAGCAGCGUUAAGGAUUUGACGGUUUUUAUCGAGGUAUCACUUCAGAAGUGCUCUUCUAAGUAAUAGUGUGUAAAAAUGAUAUGUGAUGUGUCGAGUCCAACGAUAAAGUACAAAGGGAUUUCUAAACGUUAAGCAUCAGUACCACCUGGCCAUCUCCAUUUCGUCGAAUCGCCAUCGUUCACAUCUUUAAUGCCAUCGAUCAUCUGAAGACAUCUUCAACAUCCUCAACGUUCGAAUAUUUUACCAUCUUUAUCGAAGAAAAACGCCAUCAAUCAAUAUCGUCGUUACUACGACAUCAUUCUUCGAGUACCAAUGUCACGAAGUUGGAUUUAUAUAAUUUCAUCCCAGAUCCGAGACAAGACCAGUACAGAUUCAAGAAUUAUACGAGCCUGAGUAGAAGACAGAAUGAAGUCACCAGCGCACCGCUGGUUAAAAAUUUUUCGAGCCUGAUCAGUUUAGCGAAUUGUCACUUAUUAUUGUUACGGAACCAGUGAUGAAAAGUGUAUAAUUGUUGGAAACGUUUCGCUUGGGACAAAGAACACGUGUUACCAAAAAUCUACCGCAGAGAAAAUCAAUUCAUAAUUAUGAAUGAUAUUAGAAACCGGAACCGCUCGAUGUAACCAUUUCCAAUUUAGGAAUAUGCAAUUGAAGUGUUGGACCCACGUUGUAUUUUUCUUUAUAUAUGACUUUAAGCUUUAUAAAUGUACGAAUAAACGAUACUCACGAUGUCGUUA